rnacentral:lncRNA from 1 species
UGCUAGCCAGUGGCAACUCUUCACGAGUAAGGUUCUCCCGUGACCGUUUUUUAAACAAACUAUCCCAGACAAGGGAGCAUACGUAAACACGAUGAACCACAUGUCAUAUAAUAUGGAUCUUGGAACAGGAAGAAAAAAAAAAGCCCGAAAAACAAAACUGAGAUUGCAAGCGUGAGUCACCUCUUCCCUGCCAGUCCGCCCUGCCCAUCUUUCGGUCCUGCUUCGGUUUCGGGUACUACAUUCUCACUGCCUGCUGUAACUCCAGGGAUCCUGUCACCCUCUUCUGGUCUCCAAGGGUACUACAUUCUGCCUGCUGUAACUCCAGGGAUCCUGUCACCCUCUUCUGGUCUCCACAGGGAAUUCUGAAGGUUUGAAGCCACUAACUGUUUGAUGAAGUUAACUGAAAAAGGAUGGAAGCUGUCAACUGUUUGAUGAAGGGUUGGAGAUACAUACAGACCUCGUGAGUCACCAGGCUGAACCUCACACCUUCAGACUUGGAAAUGGUCUGUUCCUUCUACUCUGUGUUUGAGUCUUUAUGGUCCUACCAUAUCUCCAAACAGCUAUGAAGAAACAACUAAAGGGGAUAGAGAGACGGCGCAGCAGUUAAGAGUCCUGGCUACUCUUCCAGAAAGCCUGAGUUCAAUUCCCAGCAACCACGUGGUGGCUCACAGCCAUCUAUAAUGAGAUCUGAUGCCCUCUUCUGGCAUGCAGUUGUACAUGCAGAUAGAGCACUCAUUAAAUAAAAAUCUUUAAAAAAACAAAA